GCAAGUCGAACGCGAUAGCCGCAAGGCGUGUAGCGUGGCGAAAGGGUGAGUAACGCGUGAGCAAUCUACCUUAAGGAUUGGAAUAACCGUUGGAAACGACGGAUAAUGCCAAGUGGUCCAAGCGAACGGCAUCGUUUGCUUGGUAAACGGUCGGUUUCGGCCCUCUGCCUUUUGAGGAGCUCACGUCCUAUCAGCUAGUUGGCGGGGUAACGGCCCACCAAGGCAUUGACGGGUAGCCGGACUGAGAGGUUGACCGGCCACACUGGGACUGAGAUACUGCCCAGACUCCUACGGGAGGCUGCAGUCGAGAAUCUUCCGCAAUGGACGAAAGUCUGACGGGGCGACGCCGCGUGCAGGAUGAAGGCCUUCGGGUUGUAAACUGCUGUUACACUUUACCAACGCCCGAAAGUUAAUAGCUCUUCGGGAUGAGCAAGGUGGGAGAAAGCACAGGCUAACUCCGUGCCAGCAGCCGCGGUAAUACGGAGUGUGCAAGCGUUACUCGGAAUCACUGGGCAUAAAGCGCGCGUAGGCGGGGUCCUAAGUCGGUCGUGAAAUCCCUCAGCUCAACUGAGGAUCUGCGGCCGAUACUGCGACUCUUGAGCACGAAAGGGGAGAGCGGAACUUCUGGUGAAGCGGUGAAAUGCGUAGAUAUCAGAAGGAACGCCGGUGGCGAAAGCGGCUCUCUGGUUCGUUUCUGACGCUGAGGCGCGAAAGCUUGGGUAGCAAACGGGAUUAGAUACCCCGGUAGUCCAAGCCGUAAA
rnacentral:rRNA from 1 species